UUGUUCACUUCAAUCAAUGUCUGAAAGUAUCUGCUCUGAAAUCUCUGUUUCCAGGAUAUUGGUCAAAUAUUUGAAUGGGGCAGCUAGUUAAUUGACUCAGACAGAGCACUUGACAGAGAGGCAGAGGGAGAGGCUGCGGGGCACCGCUACACAGCUGAGCCCAGAGUCUGGCAUUCGGAGGUCUCCAGGGGGAGUCCCAUGCUGCAAGAGGGUGUUCGGGCUGGAAAGGAAGUUCCAGAAAUUGUGUGCUCACAGUCUGCCCUGGCUGGUGACACUUCCCUUCCUUAUGGUCUCCAAAUCAUCCCAAGAGCACUGCCUUCUCAGAGAACACACCUUUUUCUGACCUCUUGAGAUGCGGAGACUGAGGCACAAACAAGAGAAGUAACCUGCUCGGGGUCCCCUGACACUUGAGCCCCCUCCCUGGGGGGCCCUGCUCAUAGCUGGUACACAGCGAACACCACCGAAGACACGGAUGUGCUGGCAGGAAUGCAGGGGCAGAUGUCAACAUUUUUGUUCCCUCGGGGGAGUCAUGAAUCAGAGCUGCGUGGGGGGUGGGAGAUGCUGAUGGGCUGAGCUCCUUGCAACUCCAUCUGCUUACUUACCCGGUCUGCAGGGAGCCCCAGGGCGGCCCCCACCUGUGCCCCUACCCCACCCACUCCUCCUCCCUCUGCCUUGCGGAGCUGAGCCCGGAGAGCCGGGGAACUGCAGCGUGGGGUUGUUGGGUGACUUCAGGUUUAAUAUCUUUGUAACCAUAUUGCAAAAGGGCAUGCCUAAGACGGCGCCUUUCGCUUAAUCUUUCUCUUUUAUUGCUUUUUCUCUUGUAUGAUUUAACCUUGCACCAGGUAUCAAGCUAGAUAAAUAAAAACUUUUAUUUCAGAUUAGCCCCGGCUGGGGGCUGCCUUGAAAGCUGAGCAGUCAUCCAGGGAGUCAGAUGAAAAAGGGAGCUGGGAAUCUGAGCUGCUUAGAGGGGCUCAUCUCAGGUUCAAAGCCCCCAAAAGAUAUUUGAGACCUUUUCUGAGGGGAGGGGCAAAAUCUCCUCCAGUGCCCACAGCCUGGGGGUGCUCAAGCCCGCACAGCAGCCCUCCGGACCCCCUCCCAGGUGGCCCCACCCCCACUGCCUCUUCUCACCCCGUAUUUCCUCCCCAGUGCUCCCUCCCCAGCCACCGGACCCUGCUUUUGUAGACUCAUUUCCCAGUGGAUUGUGGGUUCCACAGGGGCAGUGACAGUGGCUUUCACUUCGCUGCGGGUCCCCAGGGUCCAGCAUGGAGCCUGGCCCACAGUAGGCACACAGGCAAUAUUCAGGGUUAACUGAAUGAAUGAUAGAAUCCUGGGAUUCCAGUCCACACCCAGACGAGCGGGUUGACACGAAUCAUUUCAUUUCCCAGGCAGCAUGGUAAAGGAUGGCAGGAAGACUGUGAGCUUGGGAAGCAGGGAGAUAGAGAUUCGAAUACUGUGUCCACCCCUUCUGUGCUGUGUGACCCUAAAAGCACGUUUCAGGAGAUCCAUGAGUUUGGUUUCCUUGUCUGUAAAAUGGCUCUGGGCCGCCAGAUCCCGGGCUUAUGGCGAGGGUCAGAGACGGUGUCUAGCCAAGGCAAAGUCUCAUGCUCAGUGACAGACACACAAGGUGUUGUUCAUAGCAGCACGAUUCGCGAUAGCAGGGAUCAGUGCACGCACUCAUCAGCAGGAAAACAGAUUGCCUGUGGCAUUUUCACGUGACGGAGGACUAUGCGGUAAUAAAAAGGAACAAAUGAGACCUACGCCCCCAAAAUACGAAUGAAUCCCAGAUAUGUAAUAUCGGGCAAAGAAAACACAAGUCCCGGAGACGACGCAUAUAACAUGAUACUUUUUAAAUAAGCUUCAAAGGCAACUAAACCCAAACAAUAUGUGAUCCGUGUAUAUGUGACAAAGGAUCACACAAGCACGGGAAUGGAAAACAAACCCAAGAUUCAAAGAUGGGGAGGAAUGCAGCCAGAUGUGAGGGAAACUGGACAAGAACGUCCCUGCCAAACAACCUCCAGCCAUGAACUAGAAUAAUCCGCAGCCCCAUGAGCAACCUCCAGCCGUGACUGAUGUACCAGACCCAGGUGCGCCCGAAGAGAAGUUUCCUGGGCUGAGUCUAGGUGCGGUCCCUGCCCAGCUAGGGAGGAGGACCCGACGGGUAGCAGAAGAGGUGCUAGUUGGG